rnacentral:ncRNA from 1 species
CCUUGACAGUUGUAUUUUGCAACUGACACUAGCCAAGACAAGGAGACACACAUG